rnacentral:rRNA from 1 species
CCUACGGGGGGCAGCAGUGGGGAAUAUUGCACAAUGGGGGAAACCCUGAUGCAGCGACGCCGCGUGGGUGACGAAGUAUUUCGGUAUGUAAAGCCCUAUCAGCAGGGAAGAAGAUGACAGUACCUGACCAAGAAGCCCCGGCUAACUACGGGCCAGCAGCCGCGGUAAUACGUAGGGGGCAAGCGUUAUCCGGAUUUACUGGGUGUAAAGGGAGCGUAGGUGGCAUGGCAAGCCAGAAGUGAAAACCCGGGGCUUAACCCCGCGGAUUGCUUUUGGAACUGUCAGGCUGGAGUGCAGGAGGGGCAGGCGGAAUUCCUGGGGUAGCGGUGAAAUGCGUAGAUAUCAGGAGGAACACCGGUGGCGAAGGCGGCCUGCUGGACUGUAACUGACACUGAGGCUCGAAAGCGUGGGGAGCAAACAGGAUUAGAUACCUGGGUAGUC